rnacentral:rRNA from 1 species
GACUGCCUACGGGAGGCAGCAGUAGGGAAUCUUCCACAAUGGACGAAAGUCUGAUGGAGCAACGCCGCGUGAGUGAAGAAGGGUUUCGGCUCGUAAAGCUCUGUUGGUAGUGAAGAAAGAUAGAGGUAGUAACUGGCCUUUAUUUGACGGUAAUUACUUAGAAAGUCACGGCUAACUACAUGCCAGCAGCCGCGGUAAUACGUAGGUGGCAAGCGUUGUCCGGAUUUAUUGGGCGUAAAGCGAGUGCAGGCGGGUCUAUAAAGCUGAUGUGGAAGACUU